GUUUAUUUAGUCGUGACGUCUAAAACAAUACCUUCGUCCCAUUGGACGUUUUUGAGGUGACGUCUUCAACAGUGAUGCGCGCGCAUCUUGGCAACGGAAGUGGAGUGUUACUUUUGCGGAUAACUUCCUUGACCGAAGCUAACGGUAAAUGCAGCUGUUUUAACGCAAAAAUGUCGACUUGUUGCGUGUUUGCUUGUAAAUACCGACGCACCCCAGGCAGCAACAUCAAAUUAUACAGAAUACCGGCUGGUUCUCGGCCGUAUCACGCCAACAGGAGGCGGUUAUGGCUAGAAGCAAUACAACGAGCGAACGGCAGCACGGAGCCAAUCAAAGACACCGCUCGUGUUUGUAGUGCUCAUUUCAUUUCAGGAGAGGUCUCUAUGGACUAUGGCAUGCCCGACUUUGUGCCUUCAGUAUUUUCAUACACUGAACCGUGCCCGCCCCCCAAGAAAAGAGUGAAAAGGUUUUACGGUCGUAGACAAAGGCUCCACCGUGCAGCCAAAAUGAGACCAGAGGAAAAAACUACUCCUCCUGAAGUCGAUUCUCCUGAGGACCUCCAAUCCUCUGUUUUGAUGGAAACUGAAAGUGAACUUUCAAUGGAAACGCAGAUUCUGUCAACCCCAUCAGUGCCAAAGGCACACAAGUGAAGUCAUUUGUUAACACUACUAGUUGUUUAUUCAUGAGGAAGAAGAAACAUCGACUAUAGAGGCUGAGAAUGACACCAAAACCAUCCAAUUGCAAACAUCCAACACAAACAUGCCGUCGCCAUCCUGUAAAGUACCAGCAGACAUCGCAAAACUAGUCACGAGGAGUCCCAUUGUGCUUCUAAAGCCCAUAGUUUCACUAGCAGGUGGCUUUCAGUGUGAACAGUGUAAUCUCACCUUCCCCGAUGCAUCACAGCUUGUAAAUCACAAACAGCAGCAUGAAGAACAGAAGUCGUUAAUCUGUGAAGUUGGUGCGAAGUGCCUCACAAGUGAGGCAGAUCUCACCGAGCACCAUGCUGUCCAUGAGGAAGAGCCUUACUUUUCAUGUAACAUUUGUGAUCGAUCUUUUCCUUCAAAUCAGAGUCUCAAGCGUCACAAGCUGCUCCAUGUUAAAGAUGGCAGGAAGUGCCUCACUUGUGGUGCACUGUUUUGUCGCCAUCCCAGACACUUUUCAUUCCUGCCAAAGAUCGAGUGUAAGACAGGGUCUGAGGAGGAGUCUUCCGUCAUUGAGCCACAACAUGUAGGAAGUGACUUGAUCCCAGAAAGCGGUCUGCCAAAUAAGCUAGAGCCAAGCCAGACGACUGAGGAGUCUGUGCCUGAUGAUGCUCAGAGCUCACAGACAUUUACGCUUCUACUGACUUCUUCUACCUCAAUUCUUGCAGCUACACCUCCAAUCCCUGAAUUUUCACCUGCUGCUACACCUCCAAUGCCUGAAUUUUCACCUGAGACCCUUGUGGUGCCCAAUCCAGCCCCAAACACAAGAAUUGUACCUAACAUUCGUACACCGGUGCUGCUGAAAUCCUCCUCUAUGCCUCCUCCAAUCCCUGCAAUGAUCAAAUAUAGGAAUCGAAGUACCCUGUUUCAACCUCGGUCAUUAAUGUCCACUUCUGAUCAGCCUCAAUGUCCAGAACUCCCACCCUCUCUGAAGGUCUUCUCACCUCAGUACCUCACCUCAGCCUUACUUGAGGUUAAGAGAAAUUACGAGUAUAUUUUCAGUAAGAGAAAGAAUGUUGAUAUUAAGCCUAUUGUGAAGGAGGAACCAGCUGAGCCAGUGAUGAUUUCUAAAAACGAGGAAACUGUCAAACAAGACAAAAAUGAGAGAAUUGCGUAUGACCUUGAGAUUGUUCUCUGAUCAAAGCAGGUGCAAAAUGAGUGUCUUUUUAAAACGCUAAGUCACUGUACUUCUGACUGACCUGUUUGCCUUAACUGAAAUGAUUCACAUUUCACUGCUGCUUACAGAAGGACUGGUUCUUUGUAUCAAAAAGUUAAUAAGCCAAUCCUGCAAACUCACCAGUGUGUUUGGUAGAUUUACUACUGAAAUAUUAUCUUUGUUAGGGAUGAUCGUUCUGUUGCACAAUGCCUUUCCCACCUUUAUAUGUAACAAUUAUGUUUUUUUGUUUUGUUUUUUAGUCUUCCUGUAAUGCACAUGCAUGUAUAUACUUCAAAUUAGGUCUGUGUAGUCAGUUUCAAAUUGAAAUCCCAAUGUGAAAAAUGCAGUUAUAACAUCACAAGUUUAAGAUAUACAUUAUGCGUAAACAUAGGAUAUAAAUUGUGCAGGGUUUGAACUGCCCUGGCAAUGGUUUUACAAAUUCAUGCUGUCAUCCUCGUAUCAACAGAUACAGUAAACACUGUAGUGUUUCCGUGGAGAAAUUUGAAAGGUAGUCACACUCUUUAUGAUAUCUCGUGAUGUUGCUCCAUCACAUUUUAAGUUUAUUAGAGUGAAUACUGAAUAGAAUCAUAAUUUAAAUUGCAUGAUCUGUCAGAAAAAUGACUUUUAGAUAUUUUUCCCACAUUAUUCAGCCCUACUGCAAGUAAUAGAGUCACAUUUCUCCCAGUUAGGCCAGUUUUAGUUCAGCACACUGAUAUAUUUUAUGCAAAUGUCUCGAAUUCUGCUCUUUAGUAUUUAGGAAGAGUUCUAUGAUUGAGCUUUUUCACAUUUUUCUUUGUCACUACUGUUUGAUAAGUUUUACUAUUUGAAUGAAUGUGACUGAAUGUAACUGACCUGGAUUGUAAAACUGCACCAGGUGGCAUUUAGGCUGCAGGCUAUAUCCUGUACUUGGCGGUUUUGUGGUCUAAUUGUCACUUUAGUCUGUGAGCAAAUGCACUGAAACAGGAACGAGCGUUCUCUAGCAUCAUAUGUGAUAAAAAUUGCCAGUGAAUACGCUACAUUUUCCAGUCUACGUCAGCUAACUGGAGACAAAGACAAUGUCUUCAUUUUUUCUUUGUUUUUUACUAUAUAAAUGUACUGUAUUUGUGCUGAAUGUCUGCUCAUAUAUAUACACACAUAAAGCAGUUCCAGUACUUGGUGUGCAGACUCUAUGAAGCAAGACCACAAGAUCACCGUCUUUGACAUGUUAAGUUUUUAAAAAUGAUUGUUAACAGAUCAGUUUGAUCAGAUUUUUUAAUCCACUUUAUAUGAGUUUCAGUCACUACAGCCUUAUGUGUGACAGUUUUAUUAAAUUGUAUCCAGAAUGUUGUCUUUGUCUCAUGGCCACUGUCAUAACAUUUGUGCUUUCAGUUACACUACAAGAGAUUAAAGCUAUUCCUUUAAAAUACACAAAUUGUAAAUGACAUGUUGUUGGCUGUGCCCAAUCUACUGACUAUAUCAAUUAAAACAGAUGCAUUGGAAUUGAGUAGACAUUAAACUGACUGACAACAAAGUCUUUGCAUUUUUAUUGCUGUGACGGUGCAUCCAUACAACACUGUGUGUUUGUUUGACUUUCAGUUGGACACACAAAGAGAGUUGAAAUAAUAGGCUGUACAAUAAGUCUUACAUAUGUUCUGUAUAUUGCAGUUGCUGAAAUAAAAAAGCUGAUACUAUAUUUGUUAGACUUUUCUUGACCUACGGGAUUCAUGGUGUAAAUAAUUUUGUGACCAAACCGUGAAAGAUUUGCAGGCCUGAAAGUGUCUUCGGCUUUAUCCUGAUGGUAACACGAAAGGGAUUGUGAAAUUGACCCAAAAAUGUCUGCCUACUUUCCUUGGACUGCCCUCUUAUCAGUGUGUCAUAUUAAAUUAAAAUCGCCUGCUUCCUCUGUGAGCUGCCAUA
ensembl:lncRNA